rnacentral:rRNA from 1 species
UACGUAGGGGGCAAGCGUUGUCCGGAUUUAUUGGGCGUAAAGAGCGUGUAGGCGGCUUUGCAAGUCCGUUGUGAAAACUCGAGGCUCAACCUCGAGACGCCGGUGGAAACUGCAAAGCUAGAGUCCGGAAGAGGAGAGUGGAAUUCCUGGCGUAGCGGUGAAAUGCGCAGAUAUCAGGAAGAACACCCGUGGCGAAGGCGGCUCUCUGGGACGGUACUGACGCUGAGACGCGAAAGCGUGGGGAGCGAACAGG